AUGGCCACCCUUGUCAAGCACCUCAUCCUGUGCUCCAGCACUACCACAUCGUCCUCGGCUUCUCCGUCCCCAUCGAACCGUCGCUCGCCGUCGUCUCCGGAUGGCGCCGACAAGCGCGCCCACCUGACGCAGUCGUCCACGCGCCGGCUCGCGGUCGCCGCGUCAACGGCAAUGGUCGCAACGGCGGCACUUUCCGCCCGGCGACCCGCGGCGCCGCACCCAGCCAUGGCCGCGGUGCGGGCAUUGGCGCCCCCGGGAACCGUGCCGAGGUGGGGCACGAGGUCGUAUGUCAGAGAGAGGUUCUUCGAGCCCGGGCUGACCACGGAGGAGGCCGCGGCGCGCAUCCGGCAAACGGCGGAGGGGAUGCGGACGCUUCGGCCAAUGCUGGAGACCAUGUCCUGGAAGUACGUACUGUUCUACGUGCGGCUCAAGUCCAAGUACCUCGACCUCGACCUCACCACUGCCAUGGCCGGUGUCCCCGAGCCGCGCCGCCCCGAGUACAUCCUCGUCGCUAACGAGCUCGUCGACAAUAUGACCGAGUUCGACCGGUUUGUGCGGACUCCGAAGGUGUACGAGUCGUACCUCUACUAUGAGAAGACCCUGAAGUCGCUGGAUGACGUGGCAGAGUUCCUUGGAUGA
rnacentral:rRNA from 1 species